CUGUGAGCUCGAUGAGUAGGGCGGGACACGUGGUAUCCUGUCUGAAUAUGGGGGGACCAUCCUCCAAGGCUAAAUACUCCUGACUGACCGAUAGUGAACCAGUACCGUGAGGGAAAGGCGAAAAGAACCCCGGCGAGGGGAGUGAAAAAGAACCUGAAACCGUGUACGUACAAGCAGUGGGAGCACGCUUAGGCGUGUGACUGCGUACCUUUUGUAUAAUGGGUCAGCGACUUAUAUUCUGUAGCAAGGUUAACCGAAUAGGGGAGCCGAAGGGAAACCGAGUCUUAACUGGGCGUUAAGUUGCAGGGUAUAGACCCGAAACCCGGUGAUCUAGCCAUGGGCAGGUUGAAGGUUGGGUAACACUAACUGGAGGACCGAACCGACUAAUGUUGAAAAAUUAGCGGAUGACUUGUGGCUGGGGGUGAAAGGCCAAUCAAACCGGGAGAUAGCUGGUUCUCCCCGAAAGCUAUUUAGGUAGCGCCUCGUGAAUUCAUCUCCGGGGGUAGAGCACUGUUUCGGCAAGGGGGUCAUCCCGACUUACCAACCCGAUGCAAACUGCGAAUACCGGAGAAUGUUAUCACGGGAGACACACGGCGGGUGCUAACGUCCGUCGUGAAGAGGGAAACAACCCAGACCGCCAGCUAAGGUCCCAAAGUCAUGGUUAAGUGGGAAACGAUGUGGGAAGGCCCAGACAGCCAGGAUGUUGGCUUAGAAGCAGCCAUCAUUUAAAGAAAGCGUAAUAGCUCACUGGUCGAGUCGGCCUGCGCGGAAGAUGUAACGGGGCUAAACCAUGCACCGAAGCUGCGGCAGCGACGCUUAUGCGUUGUUGGGUAGGGGAGCGUUCUGUAAGCCUGCGAAGGUGUGCUGUGAGGCAUGCUGGAGGUAUCAGAAGUGCGAAUGCUGACAUAAGUAACGAUAAAGCGGGUGAAAAGCCCGCUCGCCGGAAGACCAAGGGUUCCUGUCCAACGUUAAUCGGGGCAGGGUGAGUCGACCCCUAAGGCGAGGCCGAAAGGCGUAGUCGAUGGGAAACAGGUUAAUAUUCCUGUACUUGGUGUUACUGCGAAGGGGGGACGGAGAAGGCUAUGUUGGCCGGGCGACGGUUGUCCCGGUUUAAGCGUGUAGGCUGGUUUUCCAGGCAAAUCCGGAAAAUCAAGGCUGAGGCGUGAUGACGAGGCACUACGGUGCUGAAGCAACAAAUGCCCUGCUUCCAGGAAAAGCCUCUAAGCAUCAGGUAACAUCAAAUCGUACCCCAAACCGACACAGGUGGUCAGGUAGAGAAUACCAAGGCGCUUGAGAGAACUCGGGUGAAGGAACUAGGCAAAAUGGUGCCGUAACUUCGGGAGAAGGCACGCUGAUAUGUAGGUGAAGUCCCUCGCGGAUGGAGCUGAAAUCAGUCGAAGAUACCAGCUGGCUGCAACUGUUUAUUAAAAACACAGCACUGUGCAAACACGAAAGUGGACGUAUACGGUGUGACGCCUGCCCGGUGCCGGAAGGUUAAUUGAUGGGGUCAGCGCAAGCGAAGCUCUUGAUCGAAGCCCCGGUAAACGGCGGCCGUAACUAUAACGGUCCUAAGGUAGCGAAAUUCCUUGUCGGGUAAGUUCCGACCUGCACGAAUGGCGUAAUGAUGGCCAGGCUGUCUCCACCCGAGACUCAGUGAAAUUGAACUCGCUGUGAAGAUGCAGUGUACCCGCGGCAAGACGGAAAGACCCCGUGAACCUUUACUAUAGCUUGACACUGAACAUUGAGCCUUGAUGUGUAGGAUAGGUGGGAGGCUUUGAAGUGUGGACGCCAGUCUGCAUGGAGCCGACCUUGAAAUACCACCCUUUAAUGUUUGAUGUUCUAACGUUGACCCGUAAUCCGGGUUGCGGACAGUGUCUGGUGGGUAGUUUGACUGGGGCGGUCUCCUCCUAAAGAGUAACGGAGGAGCACGAAGGUUGGCUAAUCCUGGUCGGACAUCAGGAGGUUAGUGCAAUGGCAUAAGCCAGCUUGACUGCGAGCGUGACGGCGCGAGCAGGUGCGAAAGCAGGUCAUAGUGAUCCGGUGGUUCUGAAUGGAAGGGCCAUCGCUCAACGGAUAAAAGGUACUCCGGGGAUAACAGGCUGAUACCGCCCAAGAGUUCAUAUCGACGGCGGUGUUUGGCACCUCGAUGUCGGCUCAUCACAUCCUGGGGCUGAAGUAGGUCCCAAGGGUAUGGCUGUUCGCCAUUUAAAGUGGUACGCGAGCUGGGUUUAGAACGUCGUGAGACAGUUCGGUCCCUAUCUGCCGUGGGCGCUGGAGAACUGAGGGGGGCUGCUCCUAGUACGAGAGGACCGGAGUGGACGCAUCACUGGUGUUCGGGUUGUCAUGCCAAUGGCACUGCCCGGUAGCUAAAUGCGGAAGAGAUAAGUGCUGAAAGCAUCUAAGCACGAAACUUGCCCCGAGAUGAGUUCUCCCUGACUCCUUGAGAGUCCUGAAGGAACGUUGAAGACGACGACGUUGAUAGGCCGGGUGUGUAAGCGCAGCGAUGCGUUGAGCUAACCGGUACUAAUGAACCGUGAGGCUUAACCUUACAACGCCGAAG
rnacentral:rRNA from 1 species